rnacentral:rRNA from 1 species
CAGCGUAUAUUAAAGUUGUUGCAGUUAAAACGCUCGUAGUCGGAUUUCGGGGCGGGCGGGCCGGUCUGCCGAUGGGUAUGCACUGGUCUGGCCGUCCUUCCUUCCGGAGACCGUGCGUGCUCUUAACUGAGUGUGCUCGGGAGACGGAUCGUUUACUUUGAAAAAAUCAGAGUGUUUCAAGCAGGCAGCUCGCUCUUGCAUGGAUUAGCAUGGGAUAAUGAAAUAGGACUUUGGUGCUAUUUUGUUGGUUUCGAACACCGAAGUAAUGAUUAACAGGGACAGUCAGGGGCACUCGUAUUCCGCCGAGAGAGGUGAAAUUCUCAGACCAGCGGAAGACGAACCACUGCGAAAGCAUUUG